ensembl:lncRNA
AGGACCCAAAGGAAACCUCAGCUGGGCCGAUACGUCACCAGGAAGGAAGAAAUUCUGUCUGCUGGGAGUGUGGGAAGAGCUUCAUCUGGAGCUCAACCCUCAGUACACUCCAGAGAACCAACGCCGGGGAGAUUCCCUGUGAGUGCCUUGACUGCAGGAAGAGAUCCGUCCAGAGCUGGGAGCUCAUCACACACCAGUGGAUCCACGUGAGGAACCCUACAGACGUGCAGCCUGCAAGAAGAGCUUUGGCCACAGCUCGAACCUGCUGAGGUAGCAGAGUGUCUGCAGUUGGGUGAAGUCCAGGACGUGCCUGCACCAGUGAGUUCACGUGGCAGGAAGCCUUAGAAAUGCCUCGAGUGUGAGAAGGGCUUUGUGCAGAGCACGAAGCUCCUCCCUUGCAGGAGAUGGCAGUCGUGGCAGAAGUGCUACAAACGUCCCAUGUGUGGGAAGAGCUUCAACCACAGCUCCCAGCUGAGCAAGCACCAGGGGAUCCACUCAGGGCAGAGACCAUAGAUGUGCCUGCACUGCAGGAAGAGCUUCAUCCAGAGCUCAGUCCUCGUUAAGCAUUGCCCAGUCCACGUGAGACGGUGGCCCUGCAAGUGUCUCUCCUACAGGAAGAGUUUCUCUCAGGGCUGGCACCUCAUUUCUCAUGGGGAAAGCUCCAGGAGAGAGAGCUUGAGGAUGCCCAAGGAUGGGGUAGACCCCUGUGCUUCUCCCCACACAGGAAGAGCUGGCAAAGGAGAUGGCAUUGCUGGCACCCUCUGCAGAAGGGCCUUAACCCAGGAGCUUCAGAUGGCCUUUCCUUGCUUCCCAAAGCAGUUCUCUCAGCAUGCCCACGUUCCUCUUCUGCUCUUCCUGCCUGCAGCUUUUUGAUGCCAUUUCCUUAGGAGAAGCGGCUGUGUGGGGAUGUUCUGUGUGUCUGUGUGCGUGUGUUGCUCUCAGUAAUUUCUGAGUGCACUGAUGAAUGUGAGAGAAUG